rnacentral:tRNA from 1 species
GCUGCGAUGUGGUUAAGGAGUUGGACUUGAAAUCCAAUGGGCAUUGCCCGCGUAGGUUCAAAUCCUGCUCGCAGCG